rnacentral:rRNA from 1 species
UACGGGGGGAGCAAGCGUUGUUCGGAUUUACUGGGCGUAAAGGGCGCGUAGGCGGCCACCGCAAGUCGGUUGUGAAAUCUCUGGGCUUAACCCAGAAAGGUCAACCGAUACUGCGGGGCUAGAGUGCAGAAGGGGCAACUGGAAUUCUCGGUGUAGCGGUGAAAUGCGUAGAGAUCUGGAAGAACACCAAAGGCGAAGGCAGCGUCCUGGCAAGUUCCUAACGUUCAGGUGCGAAAGCUAGGGGAGCAAACAGG